rnacentral:rRNA from 1 species
GGAUGCUUACCAUGCAGUCGAACGGCAGCACGGAGCUUGCUCUGGUGGCGAGUGGCGAACGGGUGAGUAAUAUAUCGGAACGUACCCAGGAGUGGGGGAUAACGUAGCGAAAGUUACGCUAAUACCGCAUACGUCCUAAGGGAGAAAGUGGGGGCUCGCAAGACCUCAUGCUCAUGGAGCGGCCGAUAUCUGAUUAGCUAGUUGGUGGGGUAAAGGCCUACCAAGGCAUCGAUCAGUAGCUGGUCUGAGAGGACGACCAGCCACACUGGAACUGAGACACGGUCCAGACUCCUACGGGAGGCAGCAGUGGGGAAUUUUGGACAAUGGGGGCAACCCUGAUCCAGCAAUGCCGCGUGAGUGAAGAAGGCCUUCGGGUUGUAAAGCUCUUUUGUCAGGGAAGAAAAGGGAGUGGCUAAUAUCUGGUCCUCAUGACGGUACCUGAAGAAUAAGCACCGGCUAACUACGUGCCAGCAGCCGCGGUAAUACGUAGGGUGCAAGCGUUAAUCGGAAUUACUGGGCGUAAAGCGUGCGCAGGCGGUUUUGUAAGACUGUCGUGAAAUCCCCGGGCUCAACCUGGGAAUGGCGAUGGUGACUGCAAGGCUAGAGUUUGGCAGAGGGGGGUAGAAUUCCACGUGUAGCAGUGAAAUGCGUAGAUAUGUGGAGGAACACCGAUGGCGAAGGCAGCCCCCUGGGUCAAAACUGACGCUCAUGCACGAAAGCGUGGGGAGCAAACAGGAUUAGAUACCCUGGUAGUCCACGCCCUAAACGAUGUCUACUAGUUGUCGGGUCUUAAUUGACUUGGUAACGCAGCUAACGCGUGAAGUAGACCGCCUGGGGAGUACGGUCGCAAGAUUAAAACUCAAAGGAAUUGACGGGGACCCGCACAAGCGGUGGAUGAUGUGGAUUAAUUCGAUGCAACGCGAAAAACCUUACCUACCCUUGACAUGGAUGGAAUCCUUGAGAGAUUUGAGGAGUGCCCGAAAGGGAACCAUUACACAGGUGCUGCAUGGCUGUCGUCAGCUCGUGUCGUGAGAUGUUGGGUUAAGUCCCGCAACGAGCGCAACCCUUGUCAUUAGUUGCUACGAAAGAGCACUCUAAUGAGACUGCCGGUGACAAACCGGAGGAAGGUGGGGAUGACGUCAAGUCCUCAUGGCCCUUAUGGGUAGGGCUUCACACGUCAUACAAUGGUACAUACAGAGGGCCGCCAACCCGCGAGGGGGAGCUAAUCCCAGAAAGUGUAUCGUAGUCCGGAUUGUAGUCUGCAACUCGACUGCAUGAAGUUGGAAUCGCUAGUAAUCGCGGAUCAGCAUGUCGCGGUGAAUACGUUCCCGGGUCUUGUACACACCGCCCGUCACACCAUGGGAGCGGGUUUUACCAGAAGUAGGUAGCUUAACCGCAAGGAGGGCGCU